AAUCGCUUCUUUCGUUUUUUCGAGUAGAGGCGUGGUGGGAUGAAUCAUAAUAACUUAACCGAAUCGUAUGGCCAACAUUAGGCCGACAAUAAAUCAUUCAAAUUUCUGCCCUAUCAACUUUCGAUGGUAGGGUAGUGGCCUACCAUGGUGUUGACGGGUGACGGAUAAUUAGGGUUCGAUUCCGGAGAGGGAGCCUGAGAAACGGCUACCACAUCGUAGGAAGGCAGCAGGCGCGCAAAUUACCCAAUCCUGAUUCAGGGAGGUAGCGACAAGAAAUAACGAUAGUGGGCUCGUUCGAGUCCGCGCAUCGGAAUGAGGAUAAUUUACACCCCUUCUCGAGGAUCCAUCGGAGGGCAAGUCUGGUGCCAGCAGCCGCGGUAAUUCCAGCUCCAAUAGCGUAUACUAAAGUUGUUGCAGUUAAAAAGCUCGUAGUCGAAUGUAGAUUGUACAGGUGUGCGGACAUUUAGGUGUAUAACUUAAGUCGUCUGUACGCCACAAUCACCC
rnacentral:rRNA from 1 species